CCGGCCUCUGGAGGCCUUGCAGGUGUGGAUGCUGUGUCACAUGUACGUCAGUAGGUGGCAGAGAAGAGAGAGGCUAUGUCCGCGUUCAGUGUUCUGGCCGGUGAACACCUGAAUGAUUAGUAGUCAUUUUCU